GAAACCUCUGUGGGGCUUCCCUGUCCAUCUCUGCCAAUUUGAAAUACCAGAUUCUGCAAUGCUGACUUCAGUCUUCACACCCACACCUUGCCUUUUACUGUGAGACACAGUUCCUGUUUUAAGGAUUUUACAGUUUUGCAGAGAGAUAAGAGAGGUGCACGGCCAUCAGAAUACAAUACAUUAAACGUCAAGAACAAGAAAAAUGAACUGCUGUGCAAUGGAAAUUCGGAGUAUAGAAGCACUUUUUCCUUUCCUGAACCUUGAAUACAAGAAGGAGCAUCAAGGCAAUUCUGGAUAAGUAAG